rnacentral:rRNA from 1 species
UGGGGAAUAUUGGGCAAUGGGCGCAAGCCUGACCCAGCAACGCCGCGUGAAGGAAGAAGGCUUUCGGGUUGUAAACUUCUUUUAAGGGGGAAGAGCAGAAGACGGUACCCCUUGAAUAAGCCACGGCUAACUACGUGCC